GACGAACGCUGGCGGCGCGCUUAACACAUGCAAGUCGAACGGAAAGGCCCUGCUUUUGUGGGGUGCUCGAGUGGCGAACGGGUGAGUAACACGUGAGUAACCUGCCCUUGACUUUGGGAUAACUUCAGGAAACUGGGGCUAAUACCGGAUAGGAGCUCCUACUGCAUGGUGGGGGUUGGAAAGUUUCGGCGGUUGGGGAUGGACUCGCGGCUUAUCAGCUUGUUGGUGGGGUAGUGGCUUACCAAGGCUUUGACGGGUAGCCGGCCUGAGAGGGUGACCGGCCACAUUGGGACUGAGAUACGGCCCAGACUCCUACGGGAGGCAGCAGUGGGGAAUAUUGCACAAUGGGCGGAAGCCUGAUGCAGCAACGCCGCGUGCGGGAUGACGGCCUUCGGGUUGUAAACCGCUUUCGCCUGUGACGAAGCGUGAGUGACGGUAAUGGGUAAAGAAGCACCGGCUAACUACGUG
rnacentral:rRNA from 1 species